CGUUUUUCGGGAAUAGAGGACGUGCUGCGAACAGCCGUGCGGAUCCGUACGAAAUACAAGUACCGAAUGGCAACGAAAAAAAAAAAAAAAACCCGUCAUAGAGUCGAUGGGAGGAUGGGUGGGGGGAGGGAGGAGAGUGCCGGAGAAACGUGCGCGUCGUGUUGUACCGCCGUCGGCCCGCCCGACCGGAUAUUAGACUUCUGCGCGGUACCUAACCGCCUGUAACGUUGCACUGUCGACG